AGUCAUCCCAAAAGCUAAGAUCUGUUUUGUUAGUCUUUAAAAAUUACCGUGGUUCUCCCAUAAAGUAAUGAUCUGAGCCCAAAAAUCAUGUAUUAACAAAACACAAUGCUUUUCAAUGUGUAAGUAAAUUCAGUACACUUCACUGAGGCUUCAGUAAGUGUUUUCUGCGCUGUGGCCCAGCCCUGUGCUCCGUGCAAGAUAUGUGACCGUAGAGCUGCGGGGCUGUAAUUGCAGAAAUGUUGCGGAGAGGAGACAGGGUAGCAGCUUGUGAGACAGUGGAAGGAUGGCCAUGGAAGCACCAGGACUCAUACAGCACAGUGACCUACGUUCUCAAAAAGUUUUCCAGAUUAAGCACUUUUCCUGCAAAGGUUUUCCUCUUGAUUUUGUGCAUAAAAUCCUAAAAAUUGCUACAAAAUCGCAGUUGAUCCUAAGUUGAGACCCCCCCAGACUCAUAAGUGAAAGUUGUUUCUGAAUAACUCUUGUCCUGUUUUCUUGUUUGUAAAGAGAAAUUAUAUAGAUCCUGUGCACUUGGGAGUAUUAAUGCUCUACUGGAACAGCGGUGGUACCGCACACAAGCUGGGUGCUAGAUUUUGUUCCAGAAAAGCAAAUUAUGCUAAAUUCAAACAGUAUGUGAGGCACUUUUGAACUUUUGAGAGCUCUGUUAGCAUGAAAAUAAAAAGAUGGAUUUUUAGCCUGAUACUAGAGAGAUGUAAAAUAUCAUUACCAUCAUUACCAGUGAUGUGCAGAAAUCUUCAAUCACAAUCAUUACAAAAUAGUAAGAGCAGUCAGGCAGUGCAACUAGGAACCGAGAACCAGGGAUCCCAAAUCCUACUUUUUGACUCGGUCUUUUCUAAUAUGCCUUUUAGCAAUUGAUUUCACUUGUCACAGUCCAUCUGUCCUGUAUCUUGCCUUGUUGCAGUUUUAUCUUAUAGGCAUUAUAGUGAAGCUUAAUUUGAGUAAAUCACCCUGUAACUCCUAAGAGAAAGAUGCUGGGGCAGAAGAGUGCUCUUCCUCAUAUGGUGGUAGUUUGAGUACAGGGUAGAUAAAGCAUAUGUAGGAGUAAAAUUCUUGGAAGGAGACUUUUCAUGAGGUUCAAAAUAUUUGUUCAAAUUUUCUUUAAUCUGGGCUUUUUGUGGAUUUCACCUAUCUCGGUUUAAUUGAAGGUCAGUCUUACAGUUACGUGAGAAAAACCGGUCUUGUUUUUUUUCCUGGAUGAAGUUGUGAAACCUCAGGAAUUUCAUGCAAGAAAUUUUGUGAAAUUUCCGUCACAGCUUCCCAGCAGUUUGGAGGCAGUCUUAGGCAUCCUCUGAACAAUGCUCUGACACCUGAACAAGGAGAACUAAAAGAAAAUCAUCCUUCUUUCAAAGAUGUCUGUGGUCUAAUAACUGUUACUUUGCUAAGGACUGGGAGGUAGUUGCAAGCCUUCACAAAUCUCCAGAUAUACAAGGAGGCCCAUUUUUGCUAGAAUUUGACUAUAUGUUAUUAUGGACUUAUUUUUUGGCUUGCUUGAGCUGGAACUCCCAGACAAUCCAUGCCGCCUACAGAUUAAAAUCUCAUUUUGUCUAAGUUGUUUGAGCCAAGGGCUUUCCAGGAGGGGUGACUCAGGCUCGGGGAUCUCCAGAUUCACACAGAGUCCUACCACUCCAGGCUCUGGGUGUACAGCUGGCUCCGGGAACUUGAGCAUAAACGCAAGCACAGCUACAGCAUUAUAUAUGUGAGCUUAAUUUGCUUCAGUUUCAUGUGGUUUAAAGAACAAACUGUUCACUGCAAAAAAACCUCCAGCCAAACUCUUCAGGAGCAGGUGUCUCUCUUCUGCUCAUGCAGAAAUAAGGUGAAUCCCAUAAUGCAGUGUUCCUUCUGUUUCAGAAGGUAUCAUGAACUGCCAUUUACUGCAGCUGCCUCUGCAAGCAGCUGCGUUUGUGGGAAUAUCUCAGCAGAGUGGAGCCUCUGCCCAGUUAGACUGUAGGAGGGCCUUCAGAGUUGUCCUUGAAUGCUUUCUCCAUCUCCGAUUGUUCCAGUUGGGAGGAAGUAAAAUGGUUUUGCAAGGACAAAGGUUAGCUGGAGCCAGACUGUACUUCUAAUUCUGUAGUUUAACAAUACCAUGAUAUUGUAAUGCUUCUGUAAGUAGAUGUGAAUGUGAGUAAAGGGACAAGAAGCGAAAUAAAUGUAAAUUUGGAGCAAAGGUGAGGAAACACACAUAAAGCAGGAAAGAAAUGAAUUUGAAAGCGAGGCAGAGAAAAUAUAAAUAAAAGCAGAAAAAUAAGUAAAAACAAACAACAACAAGAAAGAAUGUGUUUGUUUGUUUGUUUUUAAAUUUGAUCCCAUUUGAUCCUAUUUGUCAUAAGUAGCCAGUUGUGCUGCAACUGAGUCUGUGAGCUGGAGGUGCUGACAGCCUACAGUGCAAAAAAUGGGCACUGGGUUGCUCAUUUCUUCACAGAUUCACGCACUACAGCCAGCGGCACAAAUACAACAAAUACUGAAAAAGAGAGAGAUAAAGCAAGCAAGCCAGCUUAGAUCAAUAGGAUGAGAGUGUGUAAUUUAAACCUGCCAAGUAUUGGAGGUUUUGUAAUAUGUUGUGAGAUCGCAUGGAAAACUGUGCAGUUUUUGCUGAGAUUUCCUUAUUUUCUUCUGCUGAAUUUUGACUGUAUUUAUCUUACCCAUACUACUGAUGUGUUCGGGGUCGUAGUGGCUCCUGGAAAUAACCUGCCUCUGGUUUACUGGAAACUUGAACUUCACGCAGUCACGUGGUGGGAGAAGCAGUGAGAUAACAGUGGCUGGCACUGAGUCUCACUGUGCAGCUCAGGAGGAGCAGGGAACCGUCUGAAUUCUUAGUGAUUGCUGAGGAGACCUAAGCAGUACAUGGGUGUCCUUCAAACCCAGUUCUUCCUGCAGGGAUGUCUUUUCAUCCAUUUGUGAUCUCGUAGUGUGAGAGCAGCAAGCUUUUAAUCAGAAACACAGCAGGAGUCAUUUAACAGUCAGGACAAGAGGUGGUAAGGUUUCCUUCUUUGCACAAGGUGUGAGUUAAAGCAUCAGCCAGGAAGCAAGAGAUCCAGGUUUGACUUUUUCCUCUGCCAGAAAGGAUUUAAAUAGUUUCCCCUCCAAACUGCAGCAAUCACUAGCUGCCCAAUUUGCUGUGGGAGAGACACUCUCCUCUUUCCCUGCCUGAUAACCAGAGUGGCUGGAACAUUAAUGUGGACGAAGGUUUCGUUAGUUCUUUUUCAGGAUCAUUAAAUUAUCAUUGGAUAAAACACGCAUCUAAAUUCUGUCUAAAUGUGGGCUUGAGCUUGACUCUUGAUUGAAUGGCAAAGCAUUUGAAUUGCACUUGUUUUACGCGGCACGUAUGAAAUACUAAACAGGAUACAGGAAUCUGGCUUGCAGUCAGAGGACAUAAAUCUUGUGGUCCUGGAGGUCACCAUGUUCUAAGACGGAAGCAAACAAAUCUGUCUAACAGCACAGUUUCAAAAUUAUUUGUGCUGACUGACCAAAAUAAAUUAAAAGCAAGUUAGUUCAACAUCACGUUGACCUUUUCUCUCUGACGGUGGUUAUUGAUUCAGUUACCUUAAUUCCUUUCUGCAAGUACAAAGGGUUGAUAUAUUAAGUAAUUUUAUUUAGCGUAUGGCUUUUUGGACUGUACUAACCCAUUCUAAAUAUUCUAUUUCACUAUUACUAUUCAAAUCUGUCUUCAGCUGUGCAGGUUUUACAACUGACUUAAAAGUGUGAAGAAAACUUAAAUAUGCCCUUAGGUUCAGAGGAGCUGAGCAGACUGUGAUGAUUGUAAGCUUCGGUGGGAGCACAAGUAGCUACUUCUGGAAACAAGACUUCAUAGAGGAAUCAUUCCUCUGGUAAUGGAAGUCUUCAGUGGCUAGACAAAUUUAUUUGGAAGGAGAGAAAGAGAAAUAAUUCUACAUGUUUUCUGAGCUAAUAAAAUUUGUUCUUUUUAUGGAUCUUUGAAAACUUGCAUGGUAUGCUACGGGCACAGCGUUUGAGAGGAUUAAUCCCAUUUCCUUGGUAUAUGGAACUUGUGAGUCAUCACCACUACUUGUUUGAGCAGUAUUAAAUGGUUUACUGAAGCUGCCUUGUUUUCAGCUACCAGAGCAACCUGAGGAUUCCCCACAUACCAGAAAUCUUUGAGUAAGACAGAACUGAUUAUCUAAUUGUCUUCUGCCAUG